UACGUAGGGGGCAAGCGUUGUCCGGAAUUAUUGGGCGUAAAGAGCGCGUAGGCGGUCCGGUAGUCGGUUGUGAAAGUCGGGGGCUCAACCCUCGGAUGCCGAUCGAUACUGUCGGGCUAGAGUGCGGAAGAGGCGAGUGGAAUUCCUGGUGUAGCGGUGAAAUGCGCAGAUAUCAGGAGGAACACCUAUUGCGAAGGCAGCUCGCUGGGACGUUACUGACGCUGAGACGCGAAAGCGUGGGGAGCAAACAGG
rnacentral:rRNA from 1 species